GCUAGUAAUCGCGGAUCAGAAUGCCGCGGUGAAUGCGUUCCCGGGUCUUGUACACACCGCCCGUCACACCAUGGAAGUUGGGGGCGCCCGAAGUAGCCUAAGAAAUAAGGUACCUAAGGCGAAACCAAUGACUGGGGUGAAGUCGUAACAAGGUAGC
rnacentral:rRNA from 1 species